UGAUUGGAUCUUCGCAACUUUCAUUGAGUGAUACUCGGAUUUUGCUGUGUAUAGACCAUUCUUUUGUUUCGGCCAAAUGUAUGUGUCAUGUAUGUCAAGCACACUAGGCUUGUAGAGAGGAUGUGGUCUCUAAGAUCUGGGAGAAGGUCUCCUAUAAAAGCCUCGUUCCAUUUCUUAGUCACCCUGCUUAGUAACUCAGAAACUGGAAGUAUUGGUCCUUUAUCUGGAUAGGUCUAUGCGGCAUAGAAUAGAUUCAAGAUGAAUCCAUGAAUUUUUCCAUAUUCUCCGUUACCUUUUUUUUUCCAGGUAUGUCAGUAUUAGAUCUCUGCCAUAAAGAAACAUUUUCCAACCAUGUGAGAUAGCUGAUCCUGCAGAGAUUUUUAGGAGCAAUUACUUAUUGCAGUAUUUGUCCAGGAGUAUUUUUGAGAGGAGGCAGUCUGGUUUCGUGAUAGGCGCCAAGCAAUUUUUGCAAGGAGAGCAUGCUUGAAAACCUCUACAUCACG
rnacentral:lncRNA from 1 species